rnacentral:sRNA from 1 species
AUGCUUCCUUAUUUGUUUCAGUUCUAGAUAAGACUGACUAUGCUUUGCUUCUUCUUUUAGCUUGAGAAUGCCAGACUGUCAUCAGAGAUGAAUACUUCUACUGUCAACAGUGCCAGGGAAGAACUGAUGGAAAGCCGCAUGAGAAUUGAGAGCCUUUCAUCCCAGCUUUCUAAUCUACAGAAAGAGUCUAGAGCAUGUUUGGAAAGGAUCCAAGAAUUAGAGGACUUGCUUGCUAAAGAAAAAGACAACUCUCGUCGCAUGCUGACAGACAAAGAGAGAGAGAUGGCGGAAAUAAGGGAUCAAAUGCAGCAACAGCUGAAUGACUAUGAACAGCUUCUUGAUGUAAAGUUAGCCCUGGACAUGGAAAUCAGUGCUUACAGGAAACUCUUAGAAGGCGAAGAAGAGAGAUUGAAGCUGUCUCCAAGCCCUUCUUCCCGUGUGACAGUAUCCCGAGCAUCCUCAAGUCGUAGUGUACGUACAACUAGAGGAAAACGGAAGAGGGUUGAUGUGGAAGAAUCAGAGGCGAGUAGUAGUGUUAGCAUCUCUCAUUCCGCCUCAGCCACUGGAAAUGUUUGCAUC